GUUUGCUAAAUCGUGCCCACGAAGCCUACCAUUUGUAGAGCACAUGUUGCAAACAACUGCUUUGAGAAUGUGAUGCAAAAACAAAUGGGGUAUACAAAGUUUCUUGUGCAGAAGGCCAACGCAGUUUAAAAAAUGUAGAUGCCGCAGUUAGCAGUUUACGAGGAUCCUCAUUUACAAGUAGCUAGCUAGCUAGUCACGAUUGUCUAGCUAAUAUAGUCUACUAUGACAGUCGUGUCAUAAUAAUAAAUGAUGGCUUGAAAUUCAUGGAAUGUUUAGAGUCAAGUAUCCUAAUAAACCGAUGAUUGCCUUUGAUGACAUUAGAUGGCACUAUGCCUAUCGUAAUAACGAUGUUGAAGCCAAGUUCUUUAUCAAUACGGGACAUUUCACCUUGGAAGAUCCUUCGAUGGUUUGUAUCAAGUUUGAGUUCCAGCGUUCUGUGCUUUAAGCUCUCUCCUUCUGCCUCAGUUCGCGUCAUCCAGAUCAGCUGCACCUUAUAAGGGCAAUAGUUACUGACCACAGGUGUAACAGACGGAUCACCCUCACUCCAGCUGCGGGCGGGGCUUCUACUGGGUCUUAAGAAAUGCAUCCUUGUGGUACGGUUACAUUUGGAAAAAACAUUGAGAAGCACACAGCUAUCUAUACAAGGUCCUACAGUGCAUGUCAGAGGAAACACCAAAUCAGGAAGUCCAAGGAAAUCUCUGUAAACUUCUGAGAACUCUGUGAAGGCACAGAGCUGCAGAACGUUAUAAAAAAAAGUUUCCAUAGGAUUUAAAGUUCCCAGGAGCAUGGUGGGCUCCAUCGUUGUAAAUUGGAAGAGGUUUGAAACCACCAAGACUCUUCCUAGAGCUGACAGCCCAUCCAAACUAAGUAACCGGCCAAGAAGAGCCUUAGUCAGUAAUAUGACCAAGAACCCAGUGACCACUUCAACAGUGCUUCUUAGUUUCUCUACAUAGAUGGGAGAAUCUGCCAGAAGGACAUCCAUCUCUUUAGAAUACUUAAUGAUAGUCAGUAGUUAGGCCAUCAUAAGGCCAAUGAGUAGCCUUAUUUCAUAAGCACUGUUUCUAUCUAGCAACAUGUGUUCUUAUUGAGCUACAAGGAAAUUUGUGUAUCUUUGGUAUUUUUUUUGUUAUUGAGCUACAAUGUUAUUAGGGAUCUUUGUUUUCAAGUAAAUUCGUAAAUAUUCUUGCAGAAAAUGUUACACACUGUUGUAAUUAGCUGUCGUUUUCUUGGCAGUUCGUUAUAAUAUUUUGUUA
ensembl:lncRNA